AUUGAACGCUGGCGGCAGGCCUAACACAUGCAAGUCGAACGAGUGGCGGACGGGUGAGUAAUGUCUAGGCAACUGCCCGAUGGAGGGGGAUAGCUACUGGAAACGGUAGAUAAUACCGCAUACCAUCGGAUGUGCCCAGAUGGGAGUAGCUAGUAGGUGGGGUAACGGCUAUCCUAGGCGACGAUCCCUAGCUGGUCUGAGAGGAUGACCAGCCCACUGGGACUUGAGACACGGUCCAGACUCCUAGGGGAGGCAGAAGUGGGGAAUAUUGGACAAGGGGCGAAAGCCUGAUGCAGCCAUGCCGGGGGUAUGAAGAAGGCCUUCGGUUUUUAAAGUACUUUCAGCGAGGAGGCGUUACUCGCAGAAGAAGCAACGGCUAACUCCGUGCCAGCAGCCGCGGUAAUUC
rnacentral:rRNA from 1 species